rfam:Toxoplasma gondii VEG unlocalized apicoplast scaffold scaffold00504, whole genome shotgun sequence.
AAUGAUAUAAUUUAAUUAGGUAAAAUAAAGAAUUGCAAAUUCUUGAAUUCUCAGUUCAAAUCUGAGUAUCAUUU